GGUCUGUUGGCAGAAUUGGCAUUGCGUCUGACUACGAGCUACUCUUCGAGUAAUCAGUACGGCAUCAGGAGAUUCUGGGUUCGAUCCCCAGGCAGACCU
rnacentral:tRNA from 1 species